ACGGAGGGGGCUAGCGUUGUUCGGAAUUACUGGGCGUAAAGCGUACGUAGGCGGAUCAGAAAGUAUAGGGUGAAAUCCCAGGGCUCAACCCUGGAACUGCCUUAUAAACUCCUGGUCUUGAGUUCGAGAGAGGUAAGUGGAAUUCCAAGUGUAGAGGUGAAAUUCGUAGAUAUUUGGAGGAACACCAGUGGCGAAGGCGGCUUACUGGCUCGAUACUGACGCUGAGGUACGAAAGUGUGGGGAGCAAACAGG
rnacentral:rRNA from 1 species